AGUCCUACUACUAUAUAACUAUAUAAGAAUAAAAUAAGAAGAGAAGAACAGCCGCAUCAAAGAAAAAGUUGUGGGUUCUUCAAUCUUGUGUCUUUCUUGUGUGUGUGAGAGAGAGAGAGAGCUAGGGUGUAAUUGAGAUUUGGGUUUUUUGAGUGUUCGUGUAUUAUUGUAUGUCCCUAUUUUUAUAGUAAAAUUUCUUCGUCAUCGCCAUGGAGGUAGGCAAUUUGCUGAACCAAGUAAAUUCUUGCGUUCUUUGUGUGUGCUUAUUAUUUAAUUCCGCUUAUUUACUGUUAUUUAUUUGAAUCCUAGGGUGCUAGUUUGCACAACACAAGUAAAUUUCAAUGCAGAUUUGUUUGGGACAAUAUCAAUAUCAUUAUCAUACAGCAUGGUCGUUGAUCUUCAUUGGGCAUUAUCACCUUUCUCCCUCCUGUCCUAGUCCUUCAUUGGUGACUCAUGAUAUAAGUGCACAAAAGCAUCAAAAUCAGCUAAUUUCUUGACUUAUAUAUUGCUGCAUAUUUGUUCUUCUGUUUUAUUAUGUUCCUAACUUCAAAUUACCUUUCACAAAAAUUUAAUCAAGUGUAGGAUAUUCAGCCAAAAAUUCUUAUAUAAAUAUUAAUUUAUUAUCGAGAUCCAUUUGGCUUGUGUCUACUGUCUACCUCAUGGGCCUGCAUGAAUACGUAGUACUUGUAUUUAGUUGUUCAGAAAACUAAACUAUGCCAGGGUGCAUUCAAAAUUUUGCUUCCUAUCAAAUACUUUCCUCAACCAAUGACAGGCCAUGCCAACUUCUUUUAUCUGUAUGUAAUUAUAAAUUUUUUGGAAUUUUGAUAAACUAUGUCCUGUCCAAUUCCAAGAAAAUUUAUUAGGUAAUCUGGGAGUAUACUCUCUCCCUCUCACAUGGAAGUGGGCACCAUGGUGAGUGAGACCCACCCCAUGUAUUUAAAUGUGCUAGAGUGUACAACAUAGGCUGCUGGAAUUGAAGAAAAUAUUUAUGAAUAUAUGAUACUUGAUAGUGUCGAAUACUA